GACAAAAUAAAUCCAACCUUAAGAACAGAAGAUGUUCUCAGAGGUGAUGCUGAUGUGUAUUCCAGUAUUCCCUGUGUUCCCCAGGCAGGUUGGUGACCCCAUCCUGGGUUAAGAAGCAAUCCCUGAGGCAGAGCUCGGUGCUGAAUCCAGAGCUUCCCAACAGGAGCGGUGCCUCCCUGUGACUCAAGCAGAGAUGGGAGAAGGGCUCUCCAGAGGAGGAUACCUGGAUAGCACAUCUGCAGAGUGCUGCACAUCAGUAUUAUGCAUCCCAGCUAAAGGGUAAAAUCAUCCCAGGGCCAAGAACUAGAGGACAUGCAUCUGCUGUUUUGGAGCAUGAAGAGGAUGUAUUGAUGGAGAAAUAAGUCCUAAUAGAGUGAGUGCAAUUCAGAAAAUUCAAAUGUGCCCCAUUUGCUCUGCAUGGAUUGCACUGCCGUGUAGAGGAUGCAGUUUCUCCAUUUGGACAACCAUCAGCUAAAUUAUAUAGUAACAAGGCCAUUGCAGGGAAACUUUGGAAAAGGGACUCAGCUUGAAAAGGAGUGACAAAACAGCAGGAAGCCUGGAUGUUUGUGAGCACAAAUUAACAUUUCUCAAGUACCCAAUACAGUGGUUCAUCUGCUCUGCGGUCAGUAUAGAUCUGAAUAGGUAGGUCAGAGAUUGGCAGUUAUCUGUAAGUUGUCAAUAAAUUGAUAAACAGAUUUAAACUAUGUGCAUUGAGCAGGUUUCUUUUUUUCCCCUGCAAACAAGAUCAGACUGCUGUGGGAGACUGGAAAAUGAAAAGACUAAACUAUAGAGAACAUCUCUUUUAUGGUAUUUGUGAUGCUGCUCAGUGAUA